UCUCAGGCAGGCAAAAUCAAUAUCAGUUUAUUCUAAAAAAGAGUCAGUACACAGGAUCCAAAAAGGCAAGGCAGAGGUGUCCAAAUCAACAGGCAAGCUUAUGCCACAAUGGACAAGACAAACUGGCACAGAGGGGAAGAAAAGCUGGGUUUAAAUACACCAGGACAGUGGAGUUAAGAAGACACAGGUGAGACACAUCAGGGUAAUCAGGGGAGCAGGUUACACGAGGAGGAGGAAGUCAAUCGAUCAAGAGACAAGGGUGAGUAUCAAAAGAAAAGAGGAAACACGAGACAAGAAACAUGAGGGAUGAAAAAAAAACAACUUAACUAAUCAGGAGAUGUGACCUGGCAGUGUCUCUGUCUGUUGUUAAUAUCUGUCUUUGUCUUUGUAUGGUAGAGUUUGAACUUGUAGAUGUAGAGACCAACUGUGUUGACUGACAAUGGUUUUCUGAAGUCCUCCUGAGCCCACGUGGUUAAAUCCAUUACAGAAUAAUGUGGGUUUUUAAUGCAGCGCCACCUGAGGGGUCAAAGGUCACAAUUAUUCAGCGUUGGUUUUGCGUCUUGCUGCUUAUGUGCAGAGAUUUCUCUGAUUCUCUGAAUCUUUGGAUGAUUUUAUGGACUGCAGAUGAUCAAAUCUCUAAAUUCCUGCAGUUGUAGGUUGAGAAACAUUACUCUUAACCUGUUGGACUAUUUGCUCACGCUGUUGUUGACAAAGUGGUGAAUCCAUAUUUAUGAAGAACUGAGCCUUUCAGGGAUGCUCCUGACCCUCACCUGUUUCCAAUGAACCUGUCCACCCGUGGAAGGUUACAAACAGGUGUCUUUGGAGCAGUCCUCAGUUUUCAGACUUUUGUUGACUCUGAACCAACUUUUUAGGAACAUGUUACGACAUCAAAUUCAAAAUAAGUGAAUAUUUGCCAAAAAAAAAAAAAAACAGUUCAGUUAAUCAGUUUGAACAUGAAAUAAUUUCUCUUUGUGGUGUAUUCAGUUGAAUUUAAGUGGGAAAGGAUUUAGAGUUUGAAUUUUUCAGUCACUGUAGGGACAUCGAUGGGGAAAUAAUUGGCAACACCGAGGAUCAGGAUUUAAGUUUACAUUUGAGGUAUUGAGUGCUAGACAAAAACACAAACACUUUAUGAGUCAGCAAUGCCAAACAGGUUUAAAAUAAAUAUAUGCAGACAACAGUAGAUGUUUGUGCAGUUGUAGUGUGAUUUGUUCAUGAUGUGGUGUUUUCUCAUUGGUCCAUUUGUCAGUGUAUUUGUUGUUUUUAUUAUUGUUAAUGAUAUUGUAUUUAUUCAGUAUGGACUAACUCCUCUUUUGUCAGUGUUUUCUUUUUUAACAGAAGCUUUCUUAUAUAUAUUUUCCUUAUGUUUUAAAUAACUCCUUUCACUUGAAUCACACCGUGUCUCCUCUUACUUUCACAGGGUUUAAUUUUUAUUGUUCCUCCCUUCCUCCCCUAACUAUCUUUGGGAAGCAUAGCACAGAGCCCCAGCAGAAGAUUACCUUAGGAAACCAAAGGAGAAAAAAAAGACUCCUCUUGGGAGCUGAUAAGAGGAGCAGAGAUGAAGGUCAUUUUGCCCUGCAUGGUUCUGGUACAGUCCGUCCACAUUAUUGUGGAGUUAUCAGAGUGUAAAAGAUGCUUUCAACAGCAUUUUUAAUAAGACCUGGGGAAGGAAAAAAAGAUAAGAUGACAGACAGUUGAGUGCAGAUCUUUUCUUUUCUUUUUCUUUUUUUACUUCUGAACCUUCUUCAGUCAAACCAAAGGCUGGUGAUGUAUUCAGAUUUGAUAAAUGCUGUUUUUUCUCUGUCUUGAGUGUUCAGAAGAGUCACCUCUGACUCUAGCUAGCUACAGUGUAACCUUGUAUAUUGAAAUAUCUAUUAGACACAUAUUUUAUACUCAUGAAUUUGUGAGGUUUUUUUCCCUUUUACCAGUGCAUCUCAGAGAAACAUGAAUUUAACAGAAAACUGAUUCAUGCCAACAAGUCCACAUCUUGUGUAAUGUCAUUAAACCAUCCAAGGUAACCAUUUGGCCUAGCUGGCACAAAAUGUUAAACCAGCCUUACCUGAAGUGGAAUGAAUAAAAAUGUAUUGUUAGCUGGACUUGGUCAGAGGGGCUGCAGACCUUCUGUUCAAUGCACACAGAGUACAUCCAGGUCAACAGGACAGUGAGGCUAUGUCUCAGGUCAAUAGGUUGUUGCAGAUUUAACCGGCCAGCAGAUAAGAAAAGAGAUAGGAGGAAAAAUGGGCAUCCAAGCGCACACUGUAAUAGCUGUCUGGUCUGGCCUGAUGAGGUAGCUGGGGAAUAGAGCCCAAGGAUCCCUGAGUGUGUGUUUGUGUGUAUACGAGUUUGUGUGUUGACUGAUGCAAGAGAUAAGAGAAAAGAGACAGCAUGGCAGCAAGUGCUUACAUGUGUGUUUAGCAGGCCACGCCAUGCAGUGUGUCAGUGGCAGGAUGUGUAUGUCUGAUGAGGUGUCUGUGUUGAAAGGUGAUAGGGCCAGACUGUGCAAAUGAUGUCCGAUGGGUCUCUUGAAAGUCUAUUUAGCCGGAGUAAUGAAGUGCGUCUGCCAGGGUAAGAAUAUGAGCGACAGUCUCAGAGGCUCAGACAGACAGGCAGGUCACCUCACUCAACCUUGUAGAGAAGAGGCAAGAUGGACAAGAUGAUUCAGGUGUAAUGGCUCUUUUCCUCCCUGUCUGCUACGUAGGCGCCUGGAAGUACAACCAGAUCAGGUGGAGUUACAGCCAUUGAUAGAGUGUCAGUCUCCAUCAGACGGUUAUCUGGAACCAGGGGCGCCAUGCCAAACAAGUAAAAUACUCAGACUUUUUAUUAUUAUUAUUAUUUAUUUAUUUAUUUAUUUAUUUAUUUAUAAACUACAACUGUUAUGAACGGUUUUAUUAGUGAUAACCUUGUUGUGGUUACAAAUGUACUUUUUAAAAUUCACCUGUCUUCUCAGCAUCUUUACCCUCCUGAUGAACAUCACCAUUACUUUCCCUCUGACAGUUCUUAAAAAAAAACAGGCCAUUAAAUAUAUAAAUAUAUAUAUAUAUAUAUAUAUAUAUAUAUAUAUAUAUAUAUAAAUAUAAAGAACAGAUUGAUAAUUGAAAAUACAGGAUUUGACAUUUAAUAAGACUCUAGCUCUACAGUUUAAAUGACUACAGUUGAUUCUGUCUUCAGACUUGUGUGAUAAACAUUAAUGUUAUAAUGAUCGUGCCUCACCUGCUUGAACAGGCAUGAUUCUCCUGCUUAAAUCUUAUUUAGAAGGGGGUUGGAUUUGAAAAGGAGGGUUGUUUGCAUCCCAUUCUUGUUCACUACAGUCUACUGCGUCUAAAACUUGGAGUUUGAUUUUUUUAAACAGUUUUCUGGGCUCUGGAUAAUUCGAGCUAAAAUGAGUAAGUAGUGAAUAUCUGAUCAUUAAUGCUUCAGAAUCCAAGAUUUUCAUAAACUAGGAGUUUAUCUUUGGACACAUUACUAAUCAGUAAUUGACUGUAUUAUUGUUUAUCAAAACAUGAUUUUUCUUCAAUAUAAUUGGAUGUGAUUUAGUUGUAAUACUGAAGUCACACAUGUUAAGGACACACUUGCCAAUACCUUAGUAUUAGCAUGUGGAAAAAAGCCUUAAGGGAAUUAAUAAAGUAUUGUGCUUUACCCUUUACCCGUUUUACCCUGUUUUCUUCAGACACAGUUACUGAAACCAGCUUUGCCCUUUCUAAUUCCUCCUUUUUCUCUUCCCGGACAAGAACAUGAACCCUGUUGAACAGAGAUUUUAAUCUUAACCCAAGGCUAUUCAACAACGUGAGCAACCACCAGAUCAGUCACAUGAGGGAGUCUUAUGUGCCCCUAAUGGUAAAAGAGGGCUGUCUUGUGACAGACAAAAACAGAUCGUCUCUCUUUUUAGGCUCUCAGCUGAAGGACAGCUGUGCCUCCCAAGUGACCCCAGACUUCCCUCACAGAAGUAGAUCCAAACUCCAGCAUUCCUCAGCCUCCCAUGCCUGUGAUCUUGUGGCCAGGCCAAGUAAAGACUGUACUCUACUGCAGGGCCGGGAUUGGGAUGUUUAAGGAAACUGACAGAAGUCUGAAGUGACAGGCACCAGAGAAGUUUGAUUUUCCUUUUUUGAAGAGCUAUCGAGGUCAACGAAUGAGGAAAGUGGAGCAAAACCAUGCUGAUCACAUCUUGAAAGAUUCUUUUGGGACAGCUGAACAUCCCCUCAUAAAAAUUAAUGUGCUAAAAACAAGUGUGAAAGAAGAAUACAUGCUCUGUGAGGAUUUUAAAUAAUAAACAGGUUAGUGCAUGGAUCCUACAAAUGGUUCACAGUUGUUGGAGUUCAACACUUGUACAACACGUUUCCUCUGACUAACAAAAGAGCUGCUUCGGUCCAUGCUUGAUGUUUUUUUUUUUUUGCCAUGCUUUAGGUGAAGAAAGGCAGUGUUGGUCUGUUUGUCAAACAGCUGUCCCGAAACUUUGAACAGAACU
rnacentral:lncRNA from 1 species